rnacentral:rRNA from 1 species
UAGAGCUUAAUAUAAAGUGUCUGUUGUUAUAUUAAGAUUAUUAAGUUAGUAUAAAAUGAUAGAGUACUAUAGGGGAAAAAUAGAUAAUAAGGUAAGUACUGUGAGGGAAGUAUAUAACAAGUAUCAAGUAAUGGUGAGCUCAUGUACCUUUUGUAUCAUGGUUUAGUAAGAGAAAUAUGCUAGAAAGUUUUUCUCGAAACUUUACGAGCGUCCUUACUGUUCUCUAGAGGAGAUAUAUCUGCUUAUGUGGCAAAAUAAGGGAUAAAUAGAAAGGAAGAGUUGAAAUUUUAUUCGUGUAAAGUGAUAGCUAGUUAUCUCAGAAAUGUAUUGUAGUACAGGGUAUUAAUAGGGUAUAAUAGUUAUAAAUAAUGGAUGCUGUUUUAGUAUACACAGACGUUGGAAGCUAAGUUCGAGCGUAGAUAAGUUAAUAAAAGAUUAUGAAGGGGAAUAAGACUUAAAAUUGGUUAGGUAAGGAUCGUUUGUUGUGAAAGACUCUAAUUAAAUAUAAUUAUAAUUGUUUUUGGUAAAAGUAAUGGGAUGAUAUUUAAUAAUAAUUUAAAUAGAAAAGAUGCUAGAAUGAGUAUUGAGAUAAUAAGUUGGAGGUUAUAAAUAAUCAUAAAAAUAUAAAUAUAUAUAAUAUCGUUAUAAUUAAAUUAAUUCUGGAAAGGAACUCGGCUAAUCCGACUCUCGCCUGUAUAGCAAAAACAUGGCUCUUUGAUCAAUAUAAAGAGUUAGACCUGCCCAGUGAUUAGUAUUAAAUGGCCGCGGUACACUGACCGUGCAAAGGUAGCGUAAUCAUUUGCCUUUUAAUUGGAGGCUGGUAUGAAUGGUCAGACGGGGAGUCUACUGUCUCUCCAGAAUAGAGAAAAAUUAAAUUCUAGGUUAAAAUGCCUAGCUGAUAUUGAAAGACGAGAAGACCCUAACGAGCUUUAUUUUUAGCACUAAUCAUAAGUAGUGCUCAAACUUUUGUUGGGGCGACUGAGGAAACCGGAGCUUCCUUUUAUAAGAAGAAAUUAUGGUUAAGGAUCCAGCGUAUUAUGCUGAAGCCAGGCGAGCUACCGUAGGGAUAACAGCGUAAUCCUUUUAAAGAGUUCCUAUCGAAAAAAGGGUUUGCGACCUCGAUGUUGGACUAGGAUAUCCUAGUGGUGUAGAAGCUUCUGAGGGUUGGUCUGUUCGACCAAUAAAAUCCU